UGGACGAAGUCUGACGGAGCAACGCCGCGUGAGCGAUGAAGGCCUUCGGGUCGUAAAGCUCUGUUGUCAGGGAAGAACAAGUACCGGAGUAACUGCCGGUACCUUGACGGUACCUGACCAGAAAGCCACGGCUAACUACGUGCCAGCAGCCGCGGUAAUACGUAGGUGGCAAGCGUUGUCCGGAAUUAUUGGGCGUAAAGCGCGCGCAGGCGGUUCCUUAAGUCUGAUGUGAAAGCCCCCGGCUCAACCGGGGAGGGUCAUUGGAAACUGGGGAACUUGAGUGCAGAAGAGGAGAGCGGAAUUCCACGUGUAGCGGUGAAAUGCGUAGAGAUGUGGAGGAACACCAGUGGCGAAGGCGGCUCUCUGGUCUGUAACUGACGCUGAGGCGCGAAAGCGUGGGGAGCGAACAGGAUUAGAUACCCUGGUAGUCCACGCCGUAAACGAUGAGUGCUAAGUGUUAGAGGGUUUCCGCCCUUUAGUGCUGCAGCAAACGCAUUAAGCACUCCGCCUGGGGAGUACGGCCGCAAGGCUGAAACUCAAAGGAAUUGACGGGGGCCCGCACAAGCGGUGGAGCAUGUGGUUUAAUUCGAAGCAACGCGAAGAACCUUACCAGGUCUUGACAUCCUCUGACAACCCUAGAGAUAGGGCGUUCCCCUUCGGGGGACAGAGUGACAGGUGGUGCAUGGUUGUCGUCAGCUCGUGUCGUGAGAUGUUGGGUUAAGUCCCGCAACGAGCGCAACCCUUGAUCUUAGUUGCCAGCAUUCAGUUGGGCACUCUAAGGUGACUGCCGGUGACAAACCGGAGGAAGGGUGGGGAUGACGUCAAA
rnacentral:rRNA from 1 species